CGUGAGUAUGGUGGCUCACACCUGUAGUCUCAGCUACUUGGGAGGCUGAGACAGGAGGAUCACACGAGCCCAGGAGUUCUAGGCUCUAGUGCAGUAUUGCCAAUUGGGUGUCUACACUGAGUUCAGCAUCAAUAUGGUAACCUCCUGGGAGCAGGGAACCACCAGGUUGCCUAAGAUGGUGUGAACCUUCCCAGGUCGGAAACAGCAGGUCAAAACUCUCAUGUUAAUUAAUACUGGGAUUGCACUUGUGGAAAGCCACCGCACUCCAGCCUGGGCAACAUAGCAAGACCUGUCUCU
rnacentral:SRP_RNA from 1 species